rnacentral:rRNA from 1 species
UACAGAGGUCCCAAGCGUUGUUCGGAUUUAUUGGGCGUAAAGGGUGCGUAGGCGGUCUGUCGCGUCUGCUGUGAAAACUCGGGGCUUAACCCCGGGCUGCAGUGGGUACGGGCAGACUAGAGUGCGGUAGGGGAGACUGGAAUUCCUGGUGUAGCGGUGGAAUGCGCAGAUAUCAGGAGGAACACCGGUGGCGAAGGCGGGUCGCUGGUCGGCAGUACUGACGCUGAGGAGCGAAAGCGUGGGGAGCAAACAGGAUUAGAACCUACCGUC